rnacentral:rRNA from 1 species
UACAGAGGUCCCAAGCGUUGUUCGGAUUCACUGGGCGUAAAGGGUGCGUAGGUGGUGAGGUAAGUCGGAUGUGAAAUCUCGGAGCUCAACUCCGAAAUGGCAUUGGAAACUACCUUGCUCGAGGGUUGGAGGGGGGACUGGAAUACUUGGUGUAGCAGUGAAAUGCGUAGAUAUCAAGUGGAACACCAGUGGCGAAGGCGAGUCCCUGGACAACUCCUGACACUGAGGCACGAAAGCUAGGGGAGCAAACAGG